rnacentral:rRNA from 1 species
GGUUAAGUGACUAAGCGUACACGGUGGAUGCCUUGGCAGUCAGAGGCGAUGAAAGACGUAGUAACUUGCGAUAAGCCCAGAUUAGGUAGUAACAACCAUUUGAGUCUGGGAUUUCUGAAUGGGGAAACCCACGUGCAUAAGCACGUAUCCUUACCUGAAUACAUAGGGUAAGGAGGCGAACCGGGGGAACUGAAACAUCUAAGUACCCCGAGGAAAAGAAAUCAACCGAGAUUCCGAAAGUAGCGGCGAGCGAAAUUGGACUAGCCCUUAAGCUUUACACGCGUUAGACGAACGGUCUGGAAAGUCCGACGAUACAGGGUGAUAGUCCCGUAGUUGACGACGUGUGUUCAGUGAAAUCGAGUAGGGCGGGACACGUGAUAUCCUGUCUGAAUAUGGGGGGACCAUCCUCCAAGGCUAAAUACUACUGACUGACCGAUAGUGAACCAGUACCGUGAGGGAAAGGCGAAAAGAACCCCUGUGAGGGGAGUGAAAUAGAACCUGAAACCGUGUACGUACAAGCAGUAGGAGCAGGCUUUGUCCUGUGACUGCGUACCUUUUGUAUAAUGGGUCAGCGACUUAUAUUCAGUGGCAAGGUUAACCAUCUAGGGGAGCCGUAGGGAAACCGAGUCUUAACUGGGCGUUCAGUCUCUGGAUAUAGACCCGAAACCAGGUGAUCUAGCCAUGGGCAGGUUGAAGGUUGAGUAACAUCAACUGGAGGACCGAACCGACUAAUGUUGAAAAAUUAGCGGAUGACUUGUGGCUAGGGGUGAAAGGCCAAUCAAACCUGGAGAUAGCUGGUUCUCCCCGAAAGCUAUUUAGGUAGCGCCUCGGACGAAUACUACUGGGGGUAGAGCACUGUUAAGGCUAGGGGGUCAUCCCGACUUACCAACCCUUUGCAAACUCCGAAUACCAGUAAGUACUAUCCGGGAGACACACGGCGGGUGCUAACGUCCGUCGUGGAGAGGGAAACAACCCAGACCGCCAGCUAAGGUCCCAAAUUACUACUAAGUGGGAAACGAUGUGGGAAGGCUCAGACAGCCAGGAUGUUGGCUUAGAAGCAGCCAUCAUUUAAAGAAAGCGUAAUAGCUCACUGGUCGAGUCGGCCUGCGCGGAAGAUGUAACGGGGCUAAGUAGUAAACCGAAGCUGCGGCAAUGUGCUUUUGCACAUUGGGUAGGGGAGCGUUCUGUAAGCGGUUGAAGGUGUGUGGUAACGCAUGCUGGACGUAUCAGAAGUGCGAAUGCUGACAUGAGUAACGAUAAAGGGGGUGAAAACCUCCUCGCCGGAAGACCAAGGGUUCCUGUCCAACGUUAAUCGGGGCAGGGUAAGUCGACCCCUAAGGCGAGGCCGAAAGGCGUAGUCGAUGGGAAACGGGUUAAUAUUCCCGUACUUCUUACAAUUGCGAUGGGGGGACGGAGAAGGCUAGGUGGGCCUGGCGACGGUUGUCCAGGUUCAAGUGCGUAGGCUUAAGAGUUAGGUAAAUCCGGCUCUUUUUAAGGCUGAGACACGACGUCGAGCACCUACGGGUGUGAAGUCAUUGAUGCCAUGCUUCCAGGAAAAGCCUCUAAGCUUCAGAUUGUAAGGAAUCGUACCCCAAACCGACACAGGUGGUCGGGUAGAGAAUACCAAGGCGCUUGAGAGAACUCGGGUGAAGGAACUAGGCAAAAUGGUACCGUAACUUCGGGAGAAGGUACGCUCUUGAUGGUGAAGUCCCUCGCGGAUGGAGCUGACGAGAGUCGCAGAUACCAGGUGGCUGCAACUGUUUAUUAAAAACACAGCACUGUGCAAAAUCGUAAGAUGACGUAUACGGUGUGACGCCUGCCCGGUGCCGGAAGGUUAAUUGAUGGGGUUAGACUUCGGUCGAAGCUCUUGAUCGAAGCCCCGGUAAACGGCGGCCGUAACUAUAACGGUCCUAAGGUAGCGAAAUUCCUUGUCGGGUAAGUUCCGACCUGCACGAAUGGCGUAAUGAUGGCCACGCUGUCUCCACCCGAGACUCAGUGAAAUUGAAAUCGCUGUGAAGAUGCAGUGUACCCGCGGCUAGACGGAAAGACCCCGUGAACCUUUACUACAGCUUGGCACUGAACAUUGACCCUACAUGUGUAGGAUAGGUGGGAGGCUUUGAAGCACGUACGCCAGUAUGUGUGGAGCCGUCCUUGAAAUACCACCCUUGUAGUGUUGAUGUUCUAACGUCGACCCCUAAUCGGGGUUGCGGACAGUGCCUGGUGGGUAGUUUGACUGGGGCGGUCUCCUCCCAAAGAGUAACGGAGGAGCACGAAGGUGGGCUAAUCACGGUUGGACAUCGUGAGGUUAGUGCAAUGGCAUAAGCCCGCUUGACUGCGAGAAUGACAAUUCGAGCAGGUGCGAAAGCAGGUCAUAGUGAUCCGGUGGUUCUGAAUGGAAGGGCCAUCGCUCAACGGAUAAAAGGUACUCCGGGGAUAACAGGCUGAUACCGCCCAAGAGUUCAUAUCGACGGCGGUGUUUGGCACCUCGAUGUCGGCUCAUCACAUCCUGGGGCUGAAGUCGGUCCCAAGGGUAUGGCUGUUCGCCAUUUAAAGUGGUACGCGAGCUGGGUUUAGAACGUCGUGAGACAGUUCGGUCCCUAUCUGCCGUGGGCGUUGGAAGAUUGAAGGGGGCUGCUCCUAGUACGAGAGGACCGGAGUGGACGAACCUCUGGUGUUCGGGUUGUGUCGCCAGACGCAUUGCCCGGUAGCUAAGUUCGGAAUCGAUAACCGCUGAAAGCAUCUAAGCGGGAAGCGAGCCCUGAGAUGAGUCUUCCCUGAUACUUUAAGUAUCCUAAAGGGUUGUCGGAGACUACGACGUUGAUAGGUCAGGUGUGUAAGUGCUGUGAGGCAUUGAGCUAACUGAUACUAAUUGCCCGUGAGGCUUAACCAU